rnacentral:rRNA from 1 species
GGGCCCGCACAAGCGGUGGAGCAUGUGGUUUAAUUCGAUGAUACGCGAGGAACCUUACCAGGGCUUAAAUGUGUUUUGACCGAUUUGGAAACAGAUCUUUCGCAAGACAAAAUACAAGGUGCUGCAUGGUUGUCGUCAGCUCGUGCCGUGAGGUGUCAGGUUAAGUCCUAUAACGAGCGCAACCCCUUUUGUUAGUUGCCAUCGAGUCAUGUCGGGAACUCUAACAAGACUGCCAGUGUAAACUGCGAGGAAGGUGGGGAUGACGUCAAAUCAUCACGGCCCUUACGUCCUGGGCCACACACGUGCUACAAUGGCCGGUACAGAGAGCAGCCACUGGGCGACCAGGUGCGAAUCUUUAAAACCGGUCUCAGUUCGGAUUGGAGUCUGCAACUCGACUCUAUGAAGCUGGAAUCGCUAGUAAUCGGAUAUCAGCCAUGAUCCGGUGAAUACGUUCCCGGGCCUU